rnacentral:lncRNA from 1 species
UUGAAUCCAUUAGGGUCUUAAACUGAUCUCCCUGUGACUUAUGGAAGGCUGCCACAAGUGCUUCAAAUUCUAUGGUUGCUAUUUCAAUUCUUCCUCUAAGUUGGGCAACCAAGGUGCCCACAUUGCCUCCUAGGCUUGUCAACUCUUUAAGACUAUUUGAGAUGGUCUUCAAGCUGUCCUUUAGCUCAAUUGAUCUGAAGGUUUGGGUGGCACCCACACCAACUAUUUCUUGCGUUGUAGCUUCUAUCUGAGCUCUAAUUUCCUUCAGCUCUUGUAGAAGCCCUUCAUGUGAAGCUCUG